rnacentral:lncRNA from 1 species
GCCCGGGAUGGUUCACUUAGAGAAGAUGUUGACCAGAUAUUUGAGAUGCUGGAGAGACUCAUUAUUGCUCAACAAGGCCGGGAGGAAAAAAGGGAGCUACCUGAUCCUCUCAUGGUACCACAAGUUGAGCCACCCCUGCAAUGAGAGGAUCCCGAGCCACCCCGGUACGACCAUGCUCCUCCACAAUACCACCUGACACCACCAUAGUAUGAUCCGGUGCUC